GGGAAAAGCUCAAAUUUAAAAUCUGGUAGUCUUUGGCUGCCUGAGUUGUAAUCUAGAGAAGCAUUAUCCGUGCUAGACCAUGUAUAAGUCUCCUGGAAUGGGGCGUCACAGAGGGUGAGAAUCCCGUCUUUGACAUGGACUUCUGGUGCUUUGUGAUAUGCUCUCAAA
rnacentral:rRNA from 1 species